rnacentral:rRNA from 1 species
AACGAACGCUGGCGGCAUGCCUAACACAUGCAAGUCGAACGAAGGCUUCGGCCUUAGUGGCGCACGGGUGCGUAACGCGUGGGAAUCUGCCCCUUGGUUCGGAAUAACAGUUAGAAAUGACUGCUAAUACCGGAUGAUGACUUCGGUCCAAAGAUUUAUCGCCAAGGGAUGAGCCCGCGUAGGAUUAGGUAGUUGGUGGGGUAAAGGCCUACCAAGCCGACGAUCCUUAGCUGGUCUGAGAGGAUGAUCAGCCACACUGGGACUGAGACACGGCCCAGACUCCUACGGGAGGCAGCAGUGGGGAAUAUUGGACAAUGGGCGAAAGCCUGAUCCAGCAAUGCCGCGUGAGUGAUGAAGGCCUUAGGGUUGUAAAGCUCUUUUACCAGGGAUGAUAAUGACAGUACCUGGAGAAUAAGCUCCGGCUAACUCCGUGCCAGCCGCCGCCGUAA